rnacentral:rRNA from 1 species
CCUACGGGGGGCUGCAGUAGGGAAUCUUUCACAAUGGGCGAAAGCCUGAUGGAGCAACGCCGCGUGCAGGAUGAAGGCCUUCGGGUUGUAAACUGCUUUUAUAAGCGAGAAAUAUGAUGGUAACUUAUGAAUAAGGAUCGGCUAACUACGUGCAAGCAGCCGCCGUCAUACGUAGGAUCCGAGCAUUAUCCGGAGUGACUGGGUGUAUAGAGUUGCGUAGGAGGGAUAAUAAGUAGCUAGUGAAAUCUGGUGGCUCAACCAUUCAGACUAUUAGCUAAACUGUUAAGCUCGAGACCGUGAGGGGUAACUGGAAUGUCUAGUGUAGGAGUGAAAUCCGUAGAUAUUAGAAGGAACACCGAUAGCGUAGGCAGGUUGCUGGGACGGUUCUGACACUAAGGCACGAAAGCGUAGGGAGCAAACGGGAUUAGAUACCCUGGUAGUC